AUUGAACGCUGGCGGCAUGCCUUACACAUGCAAGUCGAACGGCAGCGCGGGAGCAAUCCUGGCGGCGAGUGGCGAACGGGUGAGUAAUAUAUCGGAACGUGCCCAGUCGUGGGGGAUAACGCAGCGAAAGCUGUGCUAAUACCGCAUACGAUCUAUGGAUGAAAGCGGGGGAUCGCAAGACCUCGCGCUAUUGGAGCGGCCGAUAUCAGAUUAGCUAGUUGGUGGGGUAAAGGCCUACCAAGGCAACGAUCUGUAGUUGGUCUGAGAGGACGACCAGCCACACUGGGACUGAGACACGGCCCAGACUCCUACGGGAGGCAGCAGUGGGGAAUUUUGGACAAUGGGCGCAAGCCUGAUCCAGCAAUGCCGCGUGCAGGAAGAAGG
rnacentral:rRNA from 1 species